AGAAUCAACGCUGGCGGCGUGCCUCAGACAUGCAAGUCGAACGCGAAAGUCCCCUUCGGGGGCAAGUAGAGUGGCGCACGGGUGAGUAACACGUAGGUAAUCUACCUUCGGAUGGGGAAUAACAAUCGGAAACGGUUGCUAAUACCGCAUAAUGCAGCGGCACCUAAUGGUGACAGUUGUUAAAGCGGGGGAUCGAAAGACCUCGCGUCUGAAGAGGAGCCUGCGGCGGAUUAGCUAGUUGGUAGGGUAACGGCUUACCAAGGCAACGAUCC
rnacentral:rRNA from 1 species